CACCGACGCCCGCGCCCCGCCAACCGUCGCCACCUCACCGGACCACUACGUCGCCGGCCGUCGCCGCCUUGUCCUCCAUGACUUCCUCGACCUCUUACCCGCCCCGACCUCGCUGACGGACGUCGCUCGCCGGAGCCGCUCCGCGUCGCCUCGCCUCCUCAUCUCUUCCUCAACCGGCCUCCUCGAGCCUCGCUGGCGUACCCCUGCAUCGGGGGUGAGCGCCUUCCCUCCUCUCCUUUAUGUCCCGUCGUAGGACGCCGUUCACCGCGUUCACCUGCUCUCUGACCGCGCGUGCCCGCACCUGCAACCCCUCCAUGGCCGCGCCCGGGGCCUACGCCCGCGCCCUGGCUACUCCGGCCUCGCUUCCGCAACCCCCGCUGCCCACACCAUUGCGCCCACCCCGCGUCGCUGCUCGCCGCUGUCGCGACGCCUCCCGCUCGUCCGACCGACCGCACGUGGCCUCUGUGCCCGCCGACGCUCGCCGUGCACCUGUGCGCAAGCACAGCCGCGACCACGGCUGGUGCCAAUGACAGUCGGGGCCCGACCCCUGUGAACGAAAGUAAAAAAAAAUCAAUGUAAAAUAAAUUAAAUUGUUAAUAAUCAAUUAAUUAAUUAAAUGGUUAUUUAAACUUAAUUAAAGUUUCCUUAAUUAAUUUAACAGUAGUUAACUUGUUUCUUAGUCUGUUAGUUUAUGACAUGCGGGCCCAGCCUUUUGCUUAAUAAAAUGUGUUAGUUAAAUUAGUUUAACCCUGAGUCACUUACAUGUGGGACCCGCAAAACUGUUCUUUGAGAUUAGGUUGACUAGGUCAGCUGCUGACUCAGCAGUGGGGCCCUCUGUCAGCCCCACUUACACAUCUCUGGGUACACUCUCUGUGUACCCAUAGCAAUUACACUUGUUAUAUUUUCGAAUAAAAUAAAUCCUGUUAUUUUUAGAAAUGGUUUAAUCUUUGAAAAUUAAUAUAAAUUAAUCCGUAACUCGGAUGAAAAUGUUUUAUACAUGAAAGUUGCUCAAAAUGAGGAGACGAAUCCGAAUACGCGGUCCUUUCAUCCGCCACACGUCCCUAGCAUAGCAAACAUUGAACUUUCCCCUUCCGGUUCAUCUGUUUGACAGACGUCCGGAACCGGGAGAACUUUCCCGGAUGUUUCCCCCUUCGCCAGUAUUGCCUAGCGUUGCGUUAGAACACCUCUAGCCUCGCUUAUUGCCGCGUUAUGCUUUGUAAUGCUAUGUUUGCGUGUAUUUACUGUUUCUUCCUCCUCUUCUUCUCCGGUAGACCUCGAGACCGAUGCUGAUGUCCCUGUGAUCGACUACGUCGACGACGACCCUCCUUUUUGUCUGAGCAACCAGGCAAGCCCCCUUUUGAUCAUCCCGAUAUCGCCCAUUCUAUACUCUCAUGCUUGCAUUAGAUUUUGCUACUGUUAUUGAUUGCUCCUAUUCUGAUGCAUAGCCUGCUUUUGUACCUACUGUUGUACCUUACCUGCUUAUCCUAAACUGCUUAGUAUAGGUUGGAUAGUGAUCCAUCAGUGACCUCCACCUUGUCCUUAUUGCCCCUGCUUCAUCAUCGACGACUCGAGCUACAUGAUCGACGACCAGAGCCUGACACCGCACAUCACAUCACGCCCCUUUAGUUGUUCGACUCUGCAGAGCUACUAUCGAGUGCCGAGGGUGAUCCCUCAUAACGCACUCCUGAUGAUAAUUCUGUAGUGUAGCUAUUCAGUCGUGGUCAUCGAGGGUGAUUUCCUCCUUCACCAUUCCCGAUACGGCUCUGUCGUGCAACCCCUCAAGUGUGAACCUCAAGGGUGGUUCCUCUUACGUUCACCUUGAUGAUUACAUCGAUUGGAAUCCUCCGAGGGUGAUUCCUUGGGUUUUCCCCUUGAUGUUUGGAUACGGUUACCUUGACAUUACUUGAGACCUUUGGGAAAGUCGGGCGGGCCCGGAGAGUACCCGCAAGAUGGUUACGAGGCACGGCCGGGAAGUCUGGCAGCCCUCGAGUGGGCUGGGCUUGCCCUUGUCGUAUUUCCUCGAGACGGGGCGACGGGGUCACCUUGUCGUGAGUCUCUGCUCGUCUCCGCGAGCUAAUAAUACACUAUGGUUUGGGUAUUUGUUCUGAAUUGGCCUUUGGCCUUUUUGCACCAACCACCACGCGAGAAUAGUUAUGGGCCUCGGCGUCGUGGUAUCAGCCGAAGCUUUGUCAGACGUCCAGUUCAGCAGUGCGGCACGGUCGGAUCGUGCUGGCCAUCCGAGGCGGUGCUAGUAUUCACCCUGCACGCAACAAUCCGGAGUGCAACGGGCGAUGGGCCCAGACCCCGGAGUGCUUAGGAUGUAGACCGGCGGGGACCUCUCUGCUGAGCCUAGGUCGGGCUGCGACGUGUUGAUCUUCCGAGGGCGGGCAUUGACCCCAGAAAGGUGUGUCCGGCCAGAGUGAUCGAGUUUGUUGGGUAACGUGGUGCACCCCUGCAGGGAAGAUCUUUAGUCGAAUACCGUGUCCACGGUAAUGGACGUUCAGACUUAUAUCUUGAUCUAAUACAACUAGAAAUGGAUACUUAAGAUAUGUGGCUUCGGGAUUGCUUUCUCGCAGGGAAUCGAGGAAGGAUCUCUGGGCAUUAAUGUUACAACAUGUUUGAUAAUUAUAAACUGCUAUUCUUUACCCUUCUACAUGCUGCAAGAUGCUUGGAGCUGCUUGAAGAUGCUAGUCUUCGAUAGGCUAGGCCUUCCCCUCUAUUCUGGCAUUCUGCAGUUCAGUCCACAGAUACAAAUCUUCCAUUUGAUACCAGUGCAUACUUAGUAUAGAUCUGAUGCUUGCAAGCACUUUGGAUGAGUACUCACGGUUGCUUUGCUACCCCUUUUCCCCCUUCUUUCUUCUUUCCGGUUGAUGCAACCAGAUGGUGGAUCCUUGGAGCUAGAUGCCACCGCCGACGGAUACUACUACAUGGAGGCCACCGAAGACCAGGAGUAGUUAGGAGGUCCCAGGCAGGAGGCCUUGCCUCUUCGAUCGUGUUGCUUUUGUGCUGGCCUUCUUAAGGCAGACUUGUUUAACUUAUGUCUGUACUCAGAUAUUGUUGCUUCCGCUGACUCUCUUGUGUAUCGAGCUAUGUAUUCGAGCCCUCGAGGCCCCUGGCUUGUAAUAUAAAGCUUGUAUUAUUUUAUUUGUGUCUAGAGUUGUGUUGUGAUAUCUUCCCGUGAGUCCCUGAUCUUGAUCGUACAUAUUUGCGUGUAUGAUUAGUGUACGGUCGAAUCGAGGGCGUCACAAGUUGGUAUCAGAGCCGACUGCUUGUAGGAUCCCCCUUUCCAACUCCUUGGCCGAAGUUGAGUCUAGUCUUUGAAAAAAACUGAUUUACUAACAUGGCUGUGCGGCUUACGGGCCCACGUCACCAUUGGGUGGUAUUAGAAUCUUUUACUCCUCCUCUAUACUCUGGGACUCUAAUCUCUCUUCUAUUCGGGUUAAAUGGUUUUGUUAACUCUAACUCUAGGUUCUCGUAAAUACUUUCUCCCAGAGAGCCCCUCACACCAGAUGAUUGCUUGGUGCACUAGAAGAUCCUGAAGAUACUCUCCGAUGUUUUACCGAAUCCCUCGUACCCUUCACCGUUGCGAUCCCUAACACCGAUAAAUCCUUAUGCGUAACUACCUACGUUGUCGUUCAUACCUUCAUCCCUAGUUGCUCUUGUUAAUACAAGAUGUCCUGAAAUACUCUCUGAUGUUCCGAGAACCCUUUAUGCUUACUGCCCUGCAGUUCCUUGCCGCAUGAAUACCCCUAUGGAUAAUUACUCGCUCUUAUCGAGUAUCCAUUCAUCCCUAGUUAUUCUUAUGCUUCAUAAGAUACUUUUUAAUACAAUCCGAGUUUUCGAUGACCUCUGCUGCCUGUUGCUCUAGAAGGUCUUACCUCCCUACACCCUGGUUAAUUCCAUAUGCCUAGCAGUAUCCAUUGACGUCCUUUGUCAUUAUCAUCUUGAGUCUUUCGAUUGGAUAUGUUUAUGUCGCAAUCAUCAGUUGAUCCUUAUAAAUUAUCAUUCCUGCUCAAACGUCUUCCUGAACAUGAGUUGGUUCUCGGCCAAUCAGAUUGCCAUCGGUUGUGCCAAAGUCUAUUCAACUUAUCCAUUCUUGAUCAGAACGUUUGCUUCUGAUCCCUUGAUGUGGGAAUCAUAAUUCAUUUGCAUUUGAACUCUGAAUUAGUCAGUUGCUUCUAUAAUCUGACCUCCUUGCAUUCUUCCUUCUUCUGGUUGAGUACCGUUGCUCACAUCAGAUCCCUCGUGGACCACCAGAUUCUUGGUGUAUUUUAUCCGACAACAUCCUUCAUAUUCAGUAACCUUGUGAGCUUUUCCUCGGAUACAUAAUACCUUUGGUAAGUUGUAUCCCCGCUCUUGUCAACCAUACUCUGCUUUCGGGCUUGAGUUAUUUACUCAUGAAGUUGGUGAUAUAUGUCCUAAGAUGUCCCUAUGGGUUGAAUCUUUGUCUUCCCUAAAUCCGCGUAAACUCAAAAGUUAUGCGGGUUAUGCUCUACUGGCUUUUCGUCAGGUGAAAAUUUCAACACUACAACCUCUUCGAAUGCGGGAAGUGAAUGGAAAGUUGUGCAUUAGAGAAGUGGGAGUCGACCUUGAACCUGUGUCUUCAUGCCCAUGGACCCGAUGUGGAACUUAUCAUGGAAGCUUCUUGUAAUAAUAUUUAUCCCCUUGUGGUAAGUUUAUCUUGUAUCUAUGUUUGGUCCUUUGCAACCGUGGUUCCGACCAUAUUGUUCUUCUUUGAUCCCAUUUCUCGGACAAUUUAAAGUACUUGCCUUUUGCAGAUCUUUUCACCUGUCCAAUCCCUAUUCUGCUCUACCCUCGAGCAUUACCCUGUGGUAUCUCGAGAAUAUCACGGAACUACAUAACUUCUUAUGAGUUCUUCCUCAACUUUUUAUUUCCCACUGAUUCCAAUUUUCCAUGGGUCCUGAGUUGUUAGUCACUCGAGAACACCGAUAACUGAUUCGAGUCUACACUUUUCCUCCCAUUGUCUUGGUUAACCUUUCUUGUAACCAAUCAUAUUGGAGCAGUGAUAAUUCCAUGCUUAUGUAAACACCUCGUCGUGCAAACUCUGUUAGUAAGACCUUGUUACUAUUGUUGAUGACAUUUUCGUAGCCACCGAUGGACGAGAACUUUGCCUAUUGGUCCGCCUCGUUUAACGAGCAGGAAAAUGGUUCUCUUCGUCCCUCGCCCUUGGUACCAAUGUUGUUGCCAACAUAACUGAUAGGCUAUACUCUGACCUGCCUUGCUAUCGCGACCGUGCAAAAUGUUAGCCACCUUCCUGCUUUAACCCACAUGAUGGGCCCAUAACCCAUAGUUCCACAGGAUCGAAACCUGACUCUCCCGUACACCCCCCUGUUUCCAAAGCUAUUCCCCAAGUUGUUUCCAUAUGAAAAUCAUGAACUAACUUCCUCGCCAUGUUUCAUUCUGGUAUCAAAGACAACAUUAUUCUUCAUUACUCUGAACCCCUUUCCACCCUCUGUUUCAGUCAAUGAACGGUUGUCUACCCGUUUGAAACUUCUUAUUGCACCUCCUUACCUUGCUCUCGAUGACUUUCUUGAAUUUCAAUUCGAGGGAUGCCUCUAUGCCACGUUCAUUGAGAUAACCCUAGGUAUCUAUCCUGUGAUGGACUCCGUCCUUCCCGAGUCUUUCCCCCUUACUCCACCCCUUAAAUCUCGGGACGAGAUUUCUUUUAGUGGAGGAGAAUUGUGACGCCCGGAUAAUGAAGCUAUAGUAAUCCCCUAUUAAUGGUGCCAUGUCAUCACAUUUACUGUUGCUAAAUCCCACGUUGUUUCAAACCGGUUCAAAUUUCAUUUUCAAUUUAAAGUCAAAAUUCAAAAUUCUCGAGCGGUAAAACUAAAAUGUUCGGAUAAUUCUAUAAAUUACCCUAACCUUUUGUCAAGUUGAGACAACUAAAUUCCUAGGGAUUUAAUAAGUGGUCCAAAGGCAUCUACAUUGGCCUUUUCAAUUAAGCAAAUCUUCUCAACCUUUGCGAGUGCCUCAAAAACUUUUCUGCAGCCCUAGGAUAUUGCAUAUCAUUUUUGUGCAAAGUUGGAGCUUCGACAAAAAUCAAUCACUAUCUAUUCUAAAUAAGAAACAAUAGCAUUUUUUAGGGAGAAAAAGAAAACAGUAACCCCCCUCCCCUAGUGGCCCUCGUGGCCCAGCUGGCCAUUCAGCCGGCCGGCCAGGCCGGCCCACACGCCCCCUCACACCCUCCCGGUAUAACCCUUCCCUGAAACCCUUGCCAGCCUAACCACCCCCACUCCCCCGAUCCCCACCCUCUCCCUCCAGCGCCGCCAGGGGAGAGCCCCACGCUCGGUCCCCCACUUCUCUCGCUCGUUGUCACGCCCCCCUGGGCGCUCCCUGUCCGAUUCCUCGCUCCUGAACCCCCCCCACUCCCCCUCGAUCUCUCUCUCCCUCGCCCCUCAGGAUCGAGAUCGGGAUCGGGCGCUCCUGUCGCCGCGUCGCCGCGUCACAGCUCACCGACGCCCGCGCCCCGCCAACCUUCGCCACCUCGCAGGACCACUACGUCGCCGGCCGUCGCCGCCUCGUCCUCCACGACUUCCUCGACCUCUUCCCCGCCCCGACCUCACUGACGGACGCCGCUCGCCGGAGCCGCUCCGCGUCGCCUCGCCUCCUCAUCUCUUCCUCAACCGGCCUCCUCGAGCCUCGCCGGCGUACCCCUGCAUCGGGGGUGAGCGCCUUCCCUCCUCUCCUCUAUGUCCCGUCGUAGGACGCCGUUCACCGUGUUCACCUGCUCUCUGACCGCGCGUGCCCGCACCUGCAACCUCUCCAUGGCCGCGCCCGGGGCCUACGCCCGCGCCCUGGCUACUCCGGCCUCGCUUCCGCAACCCCCGCUGCCCACACCAUUGCGCCCACCCCGCGUCGCUGCUCGCCGCUGUCGCGACGCCUCCCGCUCGUCCGACCGACCGCACGUGGCCUCUGUGCCCGCCUACGCUCGCCGUGCACCUGUGCGUAAGCACAGACGCGGCCACGGGUGGUGCCAAUGACAGUCGGGGCCCGACCCCUGUGAACGAAAGUAAAAAAAAAUUAAUGUAAAAUAAAUUAAAUUGUUAAUAAUCAAUUAAUUAAUUAAAUGGUUAUUUAAACUAAAUUAAAGUUUCCUUAAUUAAUUUAACAGUAGUUAACUUGUUUCUUAGUCUGUUAGUCUAUGACAUUGGGGCCCAGCCUUUUGCUUAAUAAAAUGUGUUAGUUAAAUUAGUUUAACCUUGAGUCACUUACAUGUGGGACCCGCAAAACUGUUCUUUCGGAUAAGGUUGACUAGGUCAGCUGCUGACUCAGCAGUGGGGCCCUCUGUCAGCCCCACUUACACAUCUCUGGGUACACUCUCUGUGUACCCAUAGCAAUUACUCCCUCUGUAAACUAAUAUAAGAGUGUUUAGAUCAUUAUUUUAGUAUUCUAAACGCUCUUAUAUUAAUUUACAGAGGGAGUACACUUGUUAUAUUUUCGAAUUAAAAUAAAUCCUGUUAUUUUUAGAAAUGGUUUAAUCUUUCAAAAUUAAUAUAAAUUAAUCCGUAACUCGGAUGAAAAUGUUUUAUACAUGAAAGUUGCUCAGAACGAUGAGACGAAUUCGAAUACGCAGUCCUUUCAUCCGCCACACGUCCCUAGCAUAGCAAACAUUAAACUUUCCCCCUCCGGCUCAUCUGUUUGACAGACGUCCGGAACCGGGAAAACUUUCCCGGAUGUUUCCCCCUUCGCCUGUAUCGCCUAGCGCUGCGUUAGAACACCUCUAGCCUCGCUUAUUGCCGCGUUAUGCUUUGUGAUGCUAUGUUUGCGUGUAUUUACUGUUUCUUCCCCCUCUUCUUGUCCGGUAGACCUCGAGACCGAUGCUGAUGUCCCUGUGAUCGACUACGUCAACGACGACCCUCCUUCUUGUCUGAGCAACCAGGCAAGCCCCCCCUUUGAUCAUCCCGAUAUCGCCCAUUCUAUACUCUCAUGCUUGCAUUAGAUUUUGCUACUGUUAUUGAUUGCUCCUAUUCUGAUGCAUAGCCUGCUUUUGUACCUACUGUUGUACCUUACCUGCUUAUCCUAAACAACUCAGUAUAGGUUGGAUAGUGAUCCAUCAGUGACCUCCACCUUGUCCUUAUUGCCCCUGCUUCAUCAUCGACGACUUGAGCUACAUGAUCGACGACCAGAGCCUGACACCGCACAUCACAUCAUGCCCCUUUAGUUGUUCGACUCUGCAGAGCUACUAUCGAGUGCCGACGGUGAUCCCUCAUAACGCACUCUUGAUGAUAAUUCUGUAGUGUAGCUAUUCGGUCGUGGUCAUCGAGGGUGAUUUCCUCCUUCACCAUUCCCGAUACGGCUCUGUCGUGCAACCCCUCAAGUGUGAACCUCGAGGGUGGUUCCUCUUACGUUCACCUUGAUGAUUACAUCGAGUGGAAUCCUCCAAGGGUGAUUCCUUGGGUUUUCCCCUUGAUGUUUGGACACACGGUUACCUUGACAUUACUUGAGACCUUUGGGAAAGUCGGGCAGGCCCGGAGAGCACCCGCAAGAUGGUUACGAGGCACGGCCGGGAAGUCUGGCAGCCCUCGAAUGGGCUGGGCUUGCCCUUGCCGUAUUUCCUCGAGAUGGGGCGACGGGGUCACCUUAUCGUGAGUCUCUGCUCGUCUCCGCGAGCUAAUAAUACACUAUGGUUUGGGUAUUUGUUUUGAAUUGGCCUUUGGCCUAUUCGCACCAACCACCACGUGAGAAUAGUUAUGGGCCUCGGCGUCGUGGUAUCAGCCAAGCUUUGUCAGACGUCUAGUUCAACAGUGCGGCACGGUCGGAUCGUGCUGGCCAUCCGAGGCAGUGCUGGUAUUCACCCUGCGCGCAACGAUCCGGAGUGCAAUGGGCGAUGGGCUCAGACCCCGGAGUGCUUAGGAUGUAGACCGGCGGGGACCUCUCUGCUGAGCCUAGGUCGGGCUGCGACGUGUUGAUCUUCUGAGGGCGGGCAUUGACCCCAGAAAGGUGUGUCCGACCAGAGUGAUCGCGUGUGGUGGGUAACGUGGUGCACCCCUGCAGGGAAGAUCUUUAUUCGAAUACCGUGUCCACGGUAAUGGACGUUUAGACUUAUAUCUUGAUCUAAUACAACUAGAAAUGGAUACUUAAGAUAUUGCUUUCUCGCAGGGAGUCAAGGAAGGAUCUCUGGGCAUUAAUGUUACAACAUGUUUGAUAAUUAUAAACUGCUAUUCUUUACCCUUCUACAUGCCACAAGAUGCUUGGAGCUGCUUGAAGAUGCUAGUCUUCGAUAGGCUAGGCCUUCCCCUCUAUUCUGGCAUUCUGCAGUUCAGUCCACAGAUACAAACCGUCCAUUUGAUACCAGUGCAUACUUAGUAUAGAUCUGAUGCUUGCGAGUACUUUGGAUGAGUACUCACGGUUGCUUUGCUACCCCUUUCCCCCCUUCUUUCUUCUUUCCGGUUGAUGCAACCAGAUGCUGGAUCCUUGGAGCUAGAUGCCACCGCCGACGGAUACUACUACAUGGAGGCCACUGAAGACCAGGAGUAGUUAGGAGGUCCCAGGCAGGAGGCCUUUCCUCUUCGAUCGUGUUGCUUUUGUGCUAGCCUUCUUAAGGCGGACUUGUUUAACUUAUGUCUGUACUCAGAUAUUGUUGCUUCCGCUGACUCUCUUGUGUAUCGAGCUAUGUAUUCGAGCCCUCGAGGCCCCUGGCUUGUAAUAUAAAGCGUGUAUUAUUUUAUUUGUGUCUAGAGUUGUG
rnacentral:lncRNA from 1 species